rnacentral:rRNA from 1 species
AUUGAAUAGCAAUAUUUAAUUCUAGUGGCAAACGGGUGAGUAACACGUAGGGAUCUACCUCGAGGUGGGGAACAACGGACCGAAAGGUUCGCUAAUACCGCAUGUGGUCGAGAGACCAAAGGAUUCGAAAGGAUUCGCCUUGAGAGGAGCCUGCGUUCGAUCAGGUAGUUGGUGAGGUAACGGCUCACCAAGCCGAUGACCGAUAGCUGUUCUGAGAGGAAGAUCAGCCACACUGGGACUGUGACACGGCCCAGACUCCUACGGGAGGCAGCAGUGGGGAAUCUUGCGCAAUGGGCGAAAGCCUGACGCAGCCAUGCCGCGUGAAUGAUGAAGGUCUUAGGA